rnacentral:rRNA from 1 species
GACGAACGCUGGCGGCGUGCUUAAAACAUGCAAGUCGAACGAACACUUCGGUGUUAGUGGCAAACGGCUGAGUAACGCGUGGGUGACCUACCUGGAAGUGGGGAAUAACUGCCCGAAAGGGUGGCUAAUACCGCAUGUGAUGGCGAGAGCGUACUCGUCAUGAAAGUCUUCGGACGCUUCGAGAGGGGCUCGCGCUCGAUUAGCUAGUUGGUGGGGUAACGGCCUACCAAGGCGACGAUCGAUAGCUGGUCUAAGAGGAUGAUCAGCCAGACUGGGACUGCGACACGGCCCAGACUCCUACGGGAGGCAGCAGUUAGGAAUUUUGGGCAAUGGGCGAAAGCCUGACCCAGCAACGCCGCGUGGGUGAUGAAGGCCUUCGGGUCGUAAAGCCCUUUUUCAGGGGAAGAUGAUGACGGUACCCUGAGAAUAAGCCCCGGCUAACUACGUGCCAGCCGCCGCCGUAA